rnacentral:tRNA from 1 species
GGCUGGGUAGCUCAGUGGAUAAGAGCCAAGCCUAGAGGUGGGAGGUCCUAGGUUCGAAUCCAGCCUCAGCCA